GUUGCUUCUUUACCUAAUAAAGAGUGACCGUGCAGUCUGGUCAUUUGUCAAGAGGAAGCAUAUAAGCGAAUUGGCCAGUAUUAAACAGCAUUGUGCAUUUUCCCGUUGUGCAGUGUUACCUGUCUCCUGGCACAUGU
rfam:Zea mays cultivar B73 chromosome 4, whole genome shotgun sequence.